CACCAGACUCCUACGGGAGGCAGCAGUGAGGGAUAUUGGUCAAUGGGGGAAACCCUGAACCAGCAACGCCGCGUGAGGGAAGACGGUUUUCGGAUUGUAAACCUCUGUCCUCUGUGAAGAUAAUGACGGUAGCAGAGGAGGAAGCUCCGGCUAACUACGUGCCAGCAGCCGCGGUAAUACGUAGGGGGCAAGCGUUAUCCGGAUUUACUGGGUGUAAAGGGGGCGCAGACGGCCAUGGCAAGCCCGGUGUGAAAGGCAGGGGCAUAACCCCUGGACUGCACUGGGAACUGUCAGGCUGGAGUGCCGGAGGGGUAAGCGGAAUUCCUGGUGUAGCGGUGAAAUGCGUAGAUAUCAGGAGGAACACCGGCGGCGAAGGCGGCUUACUGGACGGCAACUGACGUUGAGGCCCGAAAGCGUGGGGAGCAAACAGGAUUAGAUACCCUUGUA
rnacentral:rRNA from 1 species